rnacentral:rRNA from 1 species
AGCCUAGGUCGGAUUAGCUAGUUGGUGGGGUAAUGGCUCACCAAGGCGACGAUCCGUAACUGGUCUGAGAGGAUGAUCAGUCACACUGGAACUGAGACACGGUCCAGACUCCUACGGGAGGCAGCAGUGGGGAAUAUUGGACAAUGGGCGAAAGCCUGAUCCAGCCAUGCCGCGUGUGUGAAGAAGGUCUUCGGAUUGUAAAGCACUUUAAGUUGGGAGGAAGGGCAGUAAGCGAAUACCUUGCUGUUUUGACGUUACCGACAGAAUAAGCACCGGCUAACUCUGUGCCAGCAGCCGCGGUAAUACAGAGGGUGCAAGCGUUAAUCGGAAUUACUGGGCGUAAAGCGCGCGUAGGUGGUUUGUUAAGUUGAAUGUGAAAGCCCCGGGCUCAACCUGGGAACUGCAUCCAAAACUGGCAAGCUAGAGUACAGUAGAGGGUGGUGGAAUUUCCUGUGUAGCGGUGAAAAUGCGUAGAUAUAGGAAGGAACACCAGUGGCGAAGGCGACCACCUGGACUGAUACUGACACUGAGGUGCGAAAGCG